GGACACGUGUCCGAGUGGUUGAAGGAGCACGAUUGGAAAUCGUGUAUGCGGGGUUGACCCGUAUCGAGGGUUCGAAUCCCUCCGUGUCCG
rnacentral:tRNA from 1 species